CCCACCCCCACCACCACUGAUCUUUUGUGCCCAUCAGAUGUGCACGCUGUGUUCAAUGAUUCAAAUCUAUGCAGUAAUAUUUUGCCUAUUUCUAUUAAAAGAAAAUCUUUUUUUUUUUUUGUAAUAUCUGAACUUUCCACACGUAGAACCCAGAUUUCGGGCGAGAUUAUUUAUAGGCGUGAUGACUGUAACGAUUUCGGGUUGUGGUUUCCACCACUGCGGCGGAAUUAGAAAAUUCUCGGAUCCCGGGGACUUCCCGGACCCCGCUGUGGACUAUGGACCUAACGAUGGUCACGGGAUCCGAAAGGGCCCCAAGGGGAAAUGGAAAAGCUAGCGUUGAUGGUGAUGGUGGUGGAAGAGCGCUGAAACGCGAGGCAGGGUUCCGUUAGAACCGAGUGGGUUCUAGCACCGAGAUUAGAACGAGAGAUUACAGACUACAGGUGUUCACACCGGUACUCGGUGGAAUUAAACUGGAAGGAAGUCUCUGAGGUAUUUGCCUCCUAUCUAGCUGAUGGAGUGGGAGGUGUGUGUGUGUGUGUGUGUGUGUGUGUGUGUGUGUGUGUGUGAGAGAGAGAGAGAGAGAGAGAAAGCAGGAAUAAGGUGGCGCUAGAGACUACUGCUGAGAAGCCUUCAUUACUUCAGUAAUCAUGACCUCACUGCCUGAAAAUGCACAGAGUCGAUGUUAAGUGCUGUUUUAGUGUCUCUGGUUGGACACACACACACACACACACACACACACACACACACACACACACAGUGUUUUCAGUAAGCACUUCUUGUAAUGACCGAUCGAAACUGUAAAAACUAACCGGAGUGAGUGAGUGUGUGUGUGUGUCCACUGUUUGUGCUCCUCUUACUCUGUCUUGAGUAUUCUUCUCAAAAUGGCUGAAUAGUGAGAUGUUAAGACUGAUAGCUGCCUCUGACCCACAUGAAAACUUUCCCAUGCCUCUGUGUGAGUGUGUGUGUGUGUGUGUGUGUGUGUGUGUGUGUGUGUGUGGCUGCUGUGCACUCUAUAGUCAAUAACACAAAGCCCUAAAAUAUUAUUAUUAUAAUAUUAGUGGAAAUGUUUUUGCAGACUAAUAGGCAUGUUAUAUGGAAUGACUAUAGGAGUGUGUGUGUGUGUGUGUGAGAGAGAGAGAGAGAGAGAGAGAGAGAGAGAGAGAGACACCCUGAGGUCAGCAUUCCAAACUCUAGAUGAAGCUAUUAUUUUAUGGCUGUCCAAUUGGAUUUGACUCUUAAUGCAGAUUCAAUAAUAAAUAAAUAAAUAAAUAAAGUCAUCGGUCAUUUCCUCAACGCGCAUCACUUAACGCUCUGAAUGGAGAUUUUUAAUUAUACGCCAAUUUCGUUGUUAAAGGUAAUUAUAAUCCAUUAAAUGUAAUUAUGAUCGCGCGUGUCCCCGAAGUGACGCGUUCCCGAAGCGGGCGUGUCACGUCGACGUUCUCUCCGUCGCCGACUUAUACGGGUCUCGCGUUUCAAAAUGGCUCCCGUAUCGUCGGAGGACCGUAAAACCGAGCUCGGUAUCGGUAUCGAGACGCUAAAGUGGCGCUCUGUGUGAUUUUUAUCGUUAUUUUUCUUUACAUAAUAAAGUGACACUUUUCUGUACUACUGCUCGUGUCUGAGCUGAUCAAUACUCAAAUGCUUUAACAUACUACAUCUUUGAGGUAAUUAAAAAGGACAGCUGGAACGUGAGUGAUUUACGAGCGUACGUGCGUGUACGUGUGUGUACGUGUGUACAUGCAUCACACACACAGGGUUAUCCAUCUCAUCUGUGACGGUUGAUAUGAUCAGUAUGGCUAUAAGGGCUCGGCUGUGCGCAGCUGGCUGUACUCCUCAGCAGCACUCUCACACACACACACACACACAGAGUCAGCUAUUUUUCAUCUCCCACAUGAGAGACGUCUCUUAAUACGCUCCCCGCACGACUUGUGUACACAUACCUCAGCAGUGGGUCUGAGUCAGCGAUCUCUGUUCAUCAUCAUAAUGACUGUGUUCCUCUUUAAUCGAGGGGUUUGAUUGAGGUCCUCAUUUUAGAACCGAUUCCAGUCUCAGCACUUCCUCACACACACACACACGGUGUCUCUUUAAUCGUUGACCUGAUUUCUGAUUUUGUCGUGUUUCCCGCGAAGCGACCGAGCUGUCUCGAACCCUCAGCAUCUCAUCAUAGUUUAUGAUAUUUCUAGGCUUAAUAAUUUAAAUCCAGCCCUAAUCGCUAGCAGGUUAUCGUCUCAUAAAAAACGUUUCACGUUACACAGCGGCUGCGUCCCAAAUCGUACACUCGCGCACUACACCGUUCUGUAGUGCACUUAUCCAACCGAGUUAAAAAACCGAGCCCGGAUCGUCACACACUCGGUGCGCAGCUUUACGGUCGUGGCUUUGCUUACGUGGCGUAGCCGAAGAGGGGCGGGGCUACCAGGUGCUGAUGGGAGAGGUGCCAAGCCAUCGCAGGGCACAAUCGUACACCCAUUCACACGCUACGGAAUUCGGAAAUGCCAAUCAACUUGGACUUGGAAUGAAUGAAUGAAUGAAUGAAUGAAUGAAUGAAUGGGCUUUGGACUGGUGGAGGAAACCGGAGGGCUCCGUACUCCAACUCCGUACGCACGGGGCAGAGGCAGAAACCGAACACUUCCUUACAGAAAACGUCACCAUAAACUACGAUUAUACGCGUUCACCGUACGAGUCCCUGUUGCUAUAGAAACGGUAACGCAUUAAUGCGGUUGGCAGAGGAGAUUCAACACUGUGCUACAGAACCGAUUAUCGGCUCGUUCGUGCUGGUACAUGGAAUGUUGAAAUUGUCUCCGGAAUAAUAUUGGCUUAUUCGUACGUGGCGUUCCAGGCAGCAGCGGGUUAACCGUACAGGCUCCACCGUGGUGACAGUAAUUCCCGCCUACGCUCGGCCAAGAAAAACAUAAUGUGUUUUUAUUUGAUGUGGUGUAUCUCUUCAUAUCAGAUAAUAGACGGUUUAGCACAGAGCAUCUCCUUUAUGAGCAGUGGCAGAUGGUGAUGAGAGGCAGUACCUCCACAGACACUCCAGUUAACGCUCAGCGUAAUAUUGGUACACACACACAGACACACACACAAAGCAGUGAGAACAGUUCUCACUCCUCAUCAAAGAGCUCGCUGCGUUCGAGGCGCUCUGUAGAAGAUCAGAGCAGCGCGCAACAUCUGACCAAAUUAGCGCACGGAUCAGAGGAGCGAUACAUAAUUCAAUAAGCCGGGGACGAGCCGUGUGCGUCCUCGUUAAUGCAGCUACGCUCAAACUACUGUUCUUAUCCUUCACUAUUCUACUAUUCUAACCAAACUCGGUUCUCAUCCUGUGCUUGGGCUGUUUCUGUUCUAACCCAGACCUGACAAGCUGAGUAGAACAGACCGGUAACGAAAUAAAAUCUAUUUUGCAAGCCAGUCGAUGUUUGCUUGAAUUUGGAACAAUUCGCAGUUGCGCUGUUGAACCGACCCCCUGAAGCAUCCCCUUUUCUCCAAGCACUGUUGAACCGACCCCCUUGAAGCCCCGCCUCCGUCCCCUUUUCUCCAAGCACUGUUGAACCGACCCCCUUGAAGCCCCGCCUCCGUCCCCUUUUCUCCAAGCGCUGUUGAACGGACCUGAAGCACAGUGAAAUUCUUUUCUUCACAUACCCCAGCAUGUCAGGAAGUUGGGGUCAGAGCAAAGGGUCAUCCAUGAUACAGUGCCCCUGGAGCAGAGAGGGUUAAGGCCUUAAGGUUGAGCCUUGCUCAAGGGUGCCCAACAGUGGCAGCUUUGCAGUGCUGGGGCUAGAACCCCCGACCUUCUGAUCAGUAACCAGAGCCUUAACCGCCAAGCCACCACUGCCCCACUGCAAAAGUAUGGGGGACUUGACUAUCACACCCCCUAUGUAGGACUUCCUGAAACUAGAAUUGUCUUUGUUUGUUGUAGCAUUAAGAUUUCCCUUCACUGGAACUGAAGGUCCCGGACCUGUUCCAGCAUGGCCGUGCCCCUGUGCACAAAGCGAGCUCCGUGAAGACACGGUUUGCCAAGGUUGGAGUGGAGUCGAAGCAGUAACUCAACAGUGAAAAUGUUGGCCAUAUGGAAACAUUUCAUCUCUUGUGUGCUGUUUGUAAUCAACAAGUAACUUAUUUUGGUUUUAUUUAAGACUUUGUAUUGUUCAAAGUGAGGUCUUGACGUUUUGAUGCUGUUACUCUUUCUGUUCAGUUCUUAUUUACGGACUGGUGAGAAGGCCAUGCUGUAGCACGCUAACUCCGUGUUGGAAUAAUACUAUUGUUUGUGUCUGGUUGGAGAAGCCAGGUUAGUUAGACCGAAUGGAAGCGUCAUGCUGCUGAUGUCACCGUGUGGUCAUGCGUUAGGAAUCCGUUCCGCCUUAUAUGCCUAGGAAAUGUCUCAAGCGCUGAUGUCACGAGACCUCGGGAGUCUCUGAAAACAUUUUCUCACACACCGGGUGGAAUGCGGAUGACGACAGCAUCGCACUUCAGUUCUACUCACAAACCGAGGUGUUGUGAGUGCACAGACUCCUAGGAUCUCUCAGGGUACCAUUUACAGGAUGUUGAAAUGACUAUAUCUUACAAUCAGCAAAGAAGGAAGAAGACUCCUCAGGUCAGAGAUUUCCAGACUAAUCAGAGGGCCAGCAUAGUUGUAGGUUUUUAUUCUAACCAAGCAGGAGCACUUGAAACAGCUUUGAAGACUGAGAUGAGUUGGUUUAAUGUUGAAUCAGGUACACCUCCUGCUUGGUUGAAAUGAACACUUGCAGCCAGAUGAUUCACGAUGUGUGGAUAAAAUCAAACAUCCCUGCCUUAGAUCUUUGAACUUCACCCCUUCGUCAUGAAGCAUGAACUGUCGGGGGUUGGGGGGUUCAAGAACCCGGCAAGGAACCGUAACGGGUUCCUGAAUGCUUUUUCAUGUUCUCCCACCAUGCAGGAACUGUGCCCUUUAUGGAACAUAAGUUAUACGACAUCAUUUCAAGAACGUGAACUCCCCACCCAUGGCUCACAAACCUUGGCCUACGUUUUUUUGUACACUUAUCUGGACGUAAGGUGCAGGAUCUUGCAGCUCGCAGUCCGAUCGGCUCUCUGAUUUCACCGUAUUCCGAGCAAGACCUGAGGAAAGAUGAAGGCCUCGUGUAUUAAAAAGUGAAUCAGUGGGGGAGUAUACAUGGUUGGCCGUUUGCGUAGUCAGUCUGAGUAGCGGGUUCUUGGCUGUGUCGGUUGGACGAGUCUUGAGUGAAGUGUGGCAUGCAAGAUUAAUGGGCUGUGUUUGCAUUUUUUCCCCCCCUCGUCCGAUACGGGCCCCAUUUGAAACAAGGAUCUAAAUCUGAAACCUAUCUAAACAUCUGCGCUUCCUGUUAAUUCUGAAGUUCUCGUCAUUGUUUUGUAACGAUAUACUAGGACGAAACAAAUUCGCUGAACCUGAAUCGUGGUGCGUAGUCCGUGGAAUCCAGAUGAAAUAAAACGUUUCAUCAAUCUCUGUGGGGGUUCAACCAUUCAAAAAAAAACCCCCAACUAUCUACGAGGACAUCUCUCGGGUCAUUGCGGAGCAAGGAUACGUUUGUUCCCGUCGGGAAAAAAAAACACAAAGAGGAUGAAGACCAGAGUGAUGACGGUUGGAGCAAGAGAAUCAGUUGCUGCUCAAGGGGUGUUACAGGGCAACGUGGCGCACUAUGAUGAAAGCCGUAUUCGCAGUCCUUCUCAUACGAUUGGCUAGUGUCGCUGUGGUCGACAGGGGGUAGAGAGAGUACACCAUCUCUCCCACUCGGAGAUCAAGGCCAGGUUUACGCUCUUGAACGCUUGAACAUUGAUGGCUAUGGCCUUGUUGGGAGAUCCCACAAACAGGGUGAACGAUCUUCUCCUGCAUCACUCAGGAGCUUCAUCACGCAUCUUUCUACAACAAUGUUAAUGGUAAAUAGUUGCUGUUUCCUGGCUCGGGUGUUGUGGGAGGGAAUGGAGUAAACACGGAAUCGUCUAUGGAUCAGGCCGCAACGGCGAUCGGUGCCGCAAGCUGCGCCUUGGUAAUCACUGGAGCAUGAGCUAAAAAGGUUCCAGGUUUAAUCACGGAUGAAGUUCCCGUGAUGAAACCGCACCUUUAAUACUUUAGGAGAACCAUAGAGCGCCUUUAAAGUCCUUCCUGUGUGAGCUGCUCCACACUGUACACAGUUAUUGGAAGCUAGUGAUGUGAUCACAGAUCGGUCUCGAGGGCCGCCUCAGGGUGUGUGUGUGUGUGUGUGUGUGUGUGUGUGUGUGUGUGUGGUGGGGGAGUUUGAGCGGAUGGCCUGGGGCCCUCAGACAGGGAAUGGGAAUUCCAUUUCCCCAGAGAUGCAACGCUCAGCCCCCCUGUCAUCCAUCUUCCAGUGUCUGCAGUGGGGAAAGAAGAUCUGUCAUGGUGUGUGUGUGUGUGUGUGUGUGUGUGUGUGUGUGUGUGUGUGUGUGUCACGCUCCAUCUCCCUUCAUAGUCACUCGCGCAACCCCCCUUUUCCUGUACACUGUGGUACACUCCACCCCCAGUCCUCGAUCUCCUACCCUGUACUCGUUCUUUAUCUUUCCCCUCCUCCUUCCUUCCUUCCUUCCUUCAUCAGCAGACCCACCCCACCCCCACCCCCCCACUCGCUCUCUCUCACUCGCUC
ensembl:lncRNA